rnacentral:rRNA from 1 species
GACGAACGCUGGCGGCGUGCCUAAUACAUGCAAGUUGAGCGAUGAAGAUUGGUGCUUGCACCAAUUUGAAGAGCGGCGAACGGGUGAGUAACGCGUGGGGAAUCUGCCUUUGAGCGGGGGACAACAUUUGGAAACGAAUGCUAAUACCGCAUAACAUCUUUAAACAUAAGUUUUAAGUUUGAAAGAUGCAAUUGCAUCACUCAAUGAUGAUCCCGCGUUGUAUUAGCUAGUUGGUGAGGUAAAGGCUCACCAAGGCGAUGAUACAUAGCCGACCUGAGAGGGUGAUCGGCCACAUUGGGACUGAGACACGGCCCAAACUCCUACGGGAGGCAGCAGUAGGGAAUCUUCGGCAAUGGACGAAAGUCUGACCGAGCAACGCCGCGUGAGUGAAGAAGGUUUUCGGAUCGGAAAACUCUGUUGGUAGAGAAGAACGUUGGGGAGAGUGGAAAGCUCAUCAAGUGACGGUAACUACCCAGAAAGGGACGGCUAACUACGUG